ACCAAUGAAUGGCAAAACAAAUGAAAUUAACACGUGGUGUUGUGAGGCGUACUCCUAAUUUCGCAGGCAUCGAGGAGCUAUGGAGCCUUUUCCGACACCGUCUGAACAUCUAAAGCAAGAUACAUGCAUGAAGUUUGCCUCAGGACCAGAAGGAACUUGUUCUGAGCCAUGUCCUGGUUAACAAAAGUUGGAUGGUGCAACCGGAGAGGUAUGAAUUCAUCAGCAAGACCUACAGUGUAGCUAUGUUGAGUAGCUCAAUUCAACCAAUUUCAGCUGAGGAUUCUCUCCGGGAUGCAAAUCCAACGAGCCUUUUGUGAGUUACAUUUGAAUAAAAUCUGAUUAACUGAGUUCUUUUACACCUCGUGAUUCGGGGCAAACUUU